AUGCAAGUCGAACGAUGAACCUCCUUCGGGAGGGGAUUAGUGGCGAACGGGUGAGUAACACGUGGGCAAUCUGCCCUUCACUCUGGGACAAGCCCUGGAAACGGGGUCUAAUACCGGAUAUGACACACGGAGGCAUCUUCUGUGUGUGGAAAGCUCCGGCGGUGAAGGAUGAGCCCGCGGCCUAUCAGCUUGUUGGUGAGGUAAUGGCUCACCAAGGCGACGACGGGUAGCCGGCCUGAGAGGGCGACCGGCCACACUGGGACUGAGACACGGCCCAGACUCCUACGGGAGGCAGCAGUGGGGAAUAUUGCACAAUGGGCGAAAGCCUGAUGCAGCGACGCCGCGUGAGGGAUGACGGCCUUCGGGUUGUAAACCUCUUUCAGCAGGGAAGAAGCGAAAGUGACGGUACCUGCAGAAGAAGCGCCGGCUAACUACGUGCCAGCAGCCGCGGUAAUACGUAGGGCGCGAGCGUUGUCCGGAAUUAUUGGGCGUAAAGAGCUCGUAGGCGGCUUGUCACGUCGGAUGUGAAAGCCCGGGGCUUAACCCCGGGUCUGCAUUCGAUACGGGCAGGCUAGAGUUCGGUAGGGGAGAUCGGAAUUCCUGGUGUAGCGGUGAAAUGCGCAGAUAUCAGGAGGAACACCGGUGGCGAAGGCGGAUCUCUGGGCCGAUACUGACGCUGAGGAGCGAAAGCGUGGGGAGCGAACAGGAUUAGAUACCCUGGUAGUCCACGCCGUAAACGUUGGGAACUAGG
rnacentral:rRNA from 1 species